GUUCUUUGUUCCUGAAGAUGGGUCUCCGGUGUCUUUUGCAGCUCACAUUGCAGGUGGAUUUGCUGGAAUGUCCAUUGGCUACACGGUGUUUAGCUGCUUUGAUAAAGCACUGCUGAAAGAUCCAAGGUUUUGGAUAGCAAUUGCUGCAUAUUUAGCUUGUGUCUUAUUUGCUGUGUUUUUCAACAUUUUCCUAUCUCCAGCAAACUGACCUGCCCCUAUUGUAAGUCAAUUAAUAAAAAGAGCCAUCUGGAGGAAAUAAAAAAAAAAGGAAGACUCUAUGAAGAAACAGAGAAGUCUCAGAAAAGGCUAACAAUUUUAUAUAGAGGACAAAACAGCAUUAAACUCAUCAGUUGCAAAGAUUGCCUAUAAAAGGACCUUAGGAUUUAAGGAAGGGGCUUCUUAAUGUAGAAAGGGAAGAAGAAGAGAGAAAAGAAGGGUAGUAAAAACUAGAGAUUGGGGCCAGGCGCAGUGGCUCACGCCUGUAAUCCCAGCACUUUGGGAGGCUGAGGCGGGUGAAAUCACCUGAGGUCAUGAGUUCAAGACCAGCCUGACCAAUAUGGUGAAACCCUGUCUCUACUAAAGAAAAUACAAAAAUUAGCCGGGCGUGGUGGCGUGUGCCUGUAGUCCCAGCUACUUGCGAGGCUGAGGCAGGAGAAUUGCUUGAACCUGGGAGGCGAAGGUUGCAGUGAGCCGAGAUUGCGCCACUGCACUCCAGCCUGGGUGACAGAGCGACACUCGGUCUC
rnacentral:lncRNA from 10 species